rnacentral:rRNA from 1 species
UAAUGCAAGUCGAACGCGGGCACUUGUGCCCGAGUGGCGAACGGGUGAGUAAUACAUAAGAACCUGGCCUUUACAGGGGGAUAACUGCUGGAAACGGCAGCUAANACCGCAUAGGUAGGGACACUGCAUGGUGACCGUAUUAAAAGUGCUGCAAGGCACUGGUAGAGGAUGGACUUAUGGCGCAUUAGCUGGUUGGUGAGGUAACGGCUCACCAAGGCGACGAUGCGUAGCCGACCUGAGAGGGUGACCGGCCACACUGGGACUGAGACACGGCCCAGACUCCUACGGGAGGCAGCAGUAGGGAAUUUUCGGCAAUGGGGGGAACCCUGACCGAGCAACGCCGCGUGAAGGAAGAAGGAAUUCGUUCUGUAAACUUCUGUUAUAAAGGAAGAAAGACGGAUGGAGGAAAUGACAUCCGAGUGACGGUACUUUAUGAGAAAGCCACGGCUAACUACGUGCCAGCAGCCGCGGUAAUACGUAGGUGGCAAGCGUUAUCCGGAAUUAUUGGGCGUAAAGAGGGAGCAGGCGGCAGCAAAGGUCUGUGGUGAAAGACUGAAGCUUAACUUCAGUAAGCCAUAGAAACCGGGCAGCUAGAGUGCAGGAGAGGAUCGUGGAAUUCCAUGUGUAGCGGUGAAAUGCGUAGAUAUAUGGAGGAACACCAGUGGCGAAGGCGACGAUCUGGCCUGCAACUGACGCUCAGUCCCGAAAGCGUGGGGAGCAAAUAGGAUUAGAUACCCUAGUAGU